CAGAGUUGCAAAACUCCCUAAACCAUUGUGAAUCUUACCUUUACGUUCGUUGCUUUGGCGGGCGGCUCCAGGGCGGAGCCACUGCCCAUUGGGUUGGGCGCCCGCCGAAGGACAACCCAAAACUCGUUCAAUCUGUACGGAUCUCAGAGUAAAAAUAUCAAGCUAUUA
rnacentral:misc_RNA from 1 species